UUCUCGCAACAGCGAUAGUAGCGGCAUCCUUUUUUUGCUUUUCGCAAAAAAAGAUAUAGCGGAUAGCGCGGUCUUUU
rfam:Flavobacteriaceae bacterium CG2_30_34_30 cg2_3.0_scaffold_652_c, whole genome shotgun sequence.